UUUGUUUGCGCGUAGGUACGAUCGUACGGGGGCGCGGUGAUGUGGAGGCUCGCGUGAGGCUGGGUACGUGGCUAGCGGCGACUGAGGCGGAUAGUUGUUUUAGGAUUUUGUUUUGAAAAUGUUUUAGGGCUAGGUAUGUGGGUCAAUGGUUUGGGCCUUAUUGGGCUGAUUGGUUAUUGUAAAUGGACUGCUAUUGGACUGUUGUUAAUUUUUUUGAUUUGGUUUAUAUAUUUGUGCUUCUGGGCCCGGGAAAAUUGGGUCUAUUACAGCUGCCCCUUUUUUCUCGUUGUCGAGUAACGGAAACAGAGAAAAGACUAAAAGCCCGAUUUUGCCCGGUCG
rnacentral:lncRNA from 1 species